UACGGGGGGAGCAAGCGUUGUUCGGAUUUACUGGGCGUAAAGGGCGCGUAGGCGGUCAGCACAAGUCAGUUGUGAAAUCUCCGGGCUUAACUCGGAAAGGUCAACUGAUACUGCGCGGCUAGAGUGCGGAAGGGGCAACUGGAAUUCUUGGUGUAGCGGUGAAAUGCGUAGAUAUCAAGAGGAACACCUGCGGCGAAGGCGGGUUGCUGGGCCGACACUGACGCUGAUGCGCGAAAGCCAGGGGAGCGAACGGG
rnacentral:rRNA from 1 species